GUGAUGUAUGUACAUCACACUCUGGUUGAACGUUUAUUCAAUGAUGAAAAUGUUCCCUUUCUCCUCUACUUUCGUGCACAGGUUCCGUGGGUUGGCAGACUCCUCAGCACAAGUUACUCAUUGGCAGUGAGAAGAGUUCUGACGUCUGUUUCCCAUAUUCUCUCUAUCGAGAAGAAGCUUCACGGAAACCAAAUUGUCUCUAGAAGAUCCCUUGGUGAGUGUUCUCCAAAAUAUCACACCUGCCAUGCGGAAGAAUGGGGAAACUCCACACCCUCAUUUCCAGUUAGUUCUCAUCAAUAUGAAAUCAGGCUGCGCUUCAGGUUACUCAAGGCCACCUAAUGUCUGAACGUGGAACAGUGGACACCCGCUGCCUCAGACUCUGUGAGCCAAAGGGGACCUCAGAGCACAUCCUGGUUGACCAGCUUCUCCCAUCCCCCACACCUGUUUGGAAGUUGGAGAAAUAAGAUAGAGAGGGUUUGGGACUGAAUUGUGUGUCCCCUGCUCCCUUCCCUUCCCCCCAAAAAACAUUUAUGGAAGCCCACGCUGAAGCCCCCGCACUUGUGAAUGCAAACUUACUUGGAAAGAGGGUCUUUGCAGAUGUAAGCAAGCUUCAGAUGAGGUCAUUACGGUGGCCCUAAGCCAACACAACUGCUGUCCUUGCUGGAGGAAGAGAGAUUCUGGGAUGGACACACGAGAGGGGAACACUCUGUGACGGCUGGAGGGAGAGAUUGAAAUGCUGCAGCUGCAGGCUGAGGAGCGCCAAGGGCUGCUGGCAACAACGCAGAACCAAGCAGGAGGUGAGGAAGAAUGCUCCCCUACAGGGACAGAGGGGGCCUGACCCUGCCCGAGACCUUGAUGUUGGAUUUCAGCCUCCAGAACUGUGAGACAAUAUGUUUCCGUUGUUUUAAACCACGUGAUUUGCUACGGCCAUCCUAGGAAGUAGAUACAGAGACAGAGGCAAACUGGUUACGGCCAUCCUAGGAAGUGGAUACAGAGACAGAGGCAAACUGCCUAUGAUCACAGGGUGGGUGAGGGAUGAGGACACCUCUGAACACAGCCCCUGUGAUGCCCCCUCCAGAGUCGGGCCCGUUGUCCUGGGCUUCAGUCCUCCAAGGCAUCACACCGAGGUUGUGGGCAUGUGUGUUUUCUUCCAUCUUGUUUUUGUUCCAAAUUUCUAUAAUAAUUUCCCUCAAGUAGACUUUCCCUGUCUCCCCCUUUUUGGUCUCAAUAACUUUGAAACAGAUCACUGGCUCUGGGGAAAGCCAGCUCCUAUGUUGGGAGCAGCCCUAAAGAGAAUCCUGGGAGGCAAAAACCUGAAAUGUUCUGCCCACAGCCACGUGCGUGCACUGGAAACUGCAGCCCCCACAAGCUUUCAGAUGCCUACGGCCCCAGCAGACAGCUUGCCUGCGGCUUCACCAGCCAGAUAAGCUGCUCCCAGAUUCCUGACCCUCAGGAACCAAGUGAGAAGAUAUAUGUUUGUUAGUUUAAGCUGCUAAUUUUGGAGAUGAUUUGUUACCCAGCAAAAGUAACUAAUACACCCACUGUGAACUGGAACGAAUUUAGGACUACUUCCUGGGCUACACAAAAUACAAGGCAGCAUAAAUUAAGAGAGAAAGGAGGACAGAAAAACAAAGGGUGGAAAUGGAGGUUUUAAUCAAGUGUUAAACUGGGUCCAGACUGCAGGAUGAGAAAGUCUGACAUCCUUAAAAUUCAAGCUUCAAGAAUCAAGAUCCAAACUCCUGCCCUCACUCUACCUCCUGUUCUUCCCCCAGCUCAGCCCCACCACUAACAUUUGCUCCCUCUCCUCUCUGGGCCUUUCUGUACCAUGAAACCCAGAACACACCACCACCACCUCCAUUCUGCAGCCAAUUCCAUCCUUUAGACCUAGUUCAAAUCCUAGCUGAGAAAGGGGAGUCUCAAAGUUGGAAGGACUCUAAAGGUCAUUCUGCUCAAGCCCUCAAUUGCAUUCAUGCAUCGUCUAUUCAAUCCAGCAUUCACUGGAUACCUCCAAGCCAAGAAAAAUGACUUUGAUAGGUUCAGCCCAGAAAGAGGUCACACAUUUGCAGAGGGAGAUGGGAGUUCAAAUAAUUACAAUGGAAGCACAAAGUCCAAGACCCAAACAAACUGCUGUGGGAGCACAUUCUUGACUUGUCUAGAUUCUAUCCUGAAUACUUCCAGGGACAGGAAUCUCAUCAACACAUUUAUCCUAGUUUUUUCAAAUUCCAGAAUUUUCAAAGAUAAAUCUAGCUUUCUUUUCAUAUGACUAUCAUUUAAGUAUUUGAAGACCACAUCAUAAAUAUCCCUAAGCAUCUUUUUUUUUUUUUUUUUGUCUUUUUUUGUCUUUUCUAGGGCAGCACCUGCAGCAUAUGGAAGUUCCCAGGCUAGGGGUCUAAUUGGAGCUGUAGCUGCCAGCCUACUCCAAAGCCAUAGCAAUGCCAGAUCCAAGUCGUGUCUGAGACUUACACCACAGCUCAUGGCAACACUGGAUGCUUAACCCACUGAGUGAGGCCAGGGAUUGAACCCAUGUCCUCAUGGAUACUCAUCAGGUUCCUUACUGCUGAGCCACAGUGGGAACCCCUGUCUUAUAUGUUUUGAUUCCAGGCUCUUCAGCCUGUUGGCUGCCCUCAUCCAGCUCCAAACUGAAGAAUUUUUUUUUUCUCUUUGCUUUUUAGGGCUGCACUCUGGGCUAGGGGUUAAAUUGGAGCUGUAGCUACCAGCCUAUGCCACAGCCACAGCAACACUGGAUCCAAGCCGCAUCUGGGACCUACACCACAGCCCACAGCAACACCAGAUCCUUAACCCACUGAGCAAGGCCAGGGGUUGAACCCGCAUCCUCAUGGAUGCCAGUCAGAUUCAUUAACUGCUGAGCUACGACACGAACUCCCAUCCACUGAAGAUUUUUUAUACCCUUCAAACAUUGCUGGAGAUUCAGGUAAAAUGGAGGAAAGUUAUUACCGCCAUUGUUUUCAUCUUAAUGCAACCUAGGAGGCACCCUUAUUACUUCUCAUAGACAAUCAAAAUUUUCAGAAAUUCUUUUUGUUUCCUUCAUACACUUAAGUGAUCUCUCUCCUUGAAUGGCUCAUACUGGGGCUUGUUCAUACUAUCUUGUAUUGUUAGUUAAUUUCUUUUAUGUAUACAUCUAAGCUUUCUACCUAAACAGAGGUUUCUUGGGGGGGAAGAUACUUUUAUUAUUCAUAUUUUCCCUUAAUAAGUAUAUGAAUGAAUGAACAAGUGUUAAAGGAGCAAAACACCGAGAAAAGCAACAUCCCUCUCAGAAGAUGUCCACAUCACCAUCCACAGAACCUGUCAAUAUGCUGUGUUGCAUGGCAAGAGGGGGAUUAAGUUUGCAGAUUGAUGGAGUUCCCGUUGUGGCUCAGUGGUUAGCGAGUCCGACUGGGAGCCAUGGGGUUUUGGGUUCAAUCCCUGGACUCACUCAAUGGCUGUGGGUUAAGCAUCUGGUAUUGCCGUGAGCUGUGGUGUGGGUCACAGAUGUGGCUUGGAUCCCGCAUUGCUGUGGCGUAGGCUGGCAGCAACAGCUCCAAUUGGACGCUGGCCUGGGAAUAUCCAUAUGCUGCGGUGCGGCCUUAGAAAAGACCAAAAAAAGAAAAAAAAAA
rnacentral:lncRNA from 1 species